GACAGAGGGUGCAAACGUUGUUCGGAAUUACUGGGCGUAAAGGGCGCGUAGGCGGCCUUCUAAGUCGAACGUGAAAUCCCCGGGCUCAACCCGGGAACUGCGUCCGAUACUGGAAGGCUUGAAUCCGGGAGAGGGAUGCGGAAUUCCAGGUGUAGCAGUGAAAUGCGUAGAUAUCGAGAGGAACACCAGAGGCGAAGGCGAAUCACUGGACAGAAUCUGACGCUGAGGCACGAAAGCUAGGGGAGCAAACGGG
rnacentral:rRNA from 1 species